rnacentral:tRNA from 1 species
UCCCUGGUGGUCCAGUGGUUAGGACUCUGAGCUUCCACUGCUGGGUGCUCGGGUUCUAUCCCUGGUCAGGGAA